UCCGUAGGUAUUCGUAAAUAUCCGCAACUAUGUAUUUAUUUUUCGGAUAUCCGUCUUUCCGAAUAUCCGUAUUUUUUUGGAACAAAGCAAAUCAAUAAAUUAGAUAUCUGUAACAUACGAAUCAAAUCAAAAAUAUCUUAAAAAAUCUGGAUAUCCAAUCUGUGUCCAGUCGUAUUAGUCAUAAUAUGUCAAAGCUAACGGCUGAUGAAAUAAAAUAUGGGCCUGAGACUGAGACCGAGACCGACACUUGGUUGUAACUCAAAUUGCUGUUUAACCUGGUUUGGUUUGGCCACUGGAUUUUACAUUGCUUACCGGUUUGGUUUGGUUUGGUUUGGUUUGAUGAAGAGUUUGUAAGCCAAAAGUAAAAAUCCCGUAAUAAGUGGACCGACUUAAAAAGCGCUACUCGUGCUAAAUAUCCUCCUUCCCUCGUUCGUUCCAGACCUUUCUUGUUAGGAACAGGGCUGAGGCUUAUUAUGCGGGAUCCAGAUUGAAUCAGAAUCCUUUCCAAAAAUAAGAUAUUUGGAAUGUUAUGUAAAAUGAUAUUGUACGUGAUAUCUUUAUAAUAUUUUUUACAACUUUUAAAUUUACUAAAUAUGCUUUAUUAAUUUUAAAUUUAAUUAUAAUCUAACAAUACUAAAAAGCAGAUAUGCUGAAUGGAGAGGAUGCCAGCUCAGAUUAAAAAAUCAACCGAUUAGGUCAGAGUUUAUUGCCACGUCAUCAUCACAUUCUUAUUUUCUUUAUCUUUGUUUCAUCAAUUCCAUUCGUUUUCUCUUGAACCAGACCAUAACUAUCUAGCUCUUCAUCUCUUUUUCUUUCACCGUACAAAUCCUUUUAAGCCUUCUUGACAUUAUAUUGAAGCCUCUUCAUUUUCCAUCCUUCUCGCCAUCCUCACUAUAUAGACGACGGCUACACUCAAAAUCCAAUGUUUCUUCACAGACGAUGACAAUUUUCAGAACACAAAUUCCCGCCAUGGCCUCCAAUAUUGGUUACGUUGUUGCUCCUCCAUUGCCGAAAGAGAUUUCCGAGGUGAGCACUGUUUGGAUGUGUUAAGCAAACUUUGAUAUCAAAGACACAAAUCUCAGGCUCAAAUAGUGUAUCUGGUUCGCAGUGGAGGCCUGGGAAUCCCUUUCAGAGUCAGAAUGAAACGGUCCGUGGAAGAGCUAAAAUAGCAAAAUAACUCUUUAGUUAUGGUGGAUAUUCAGGGGAAUUGGUUUGCAUAAACUGGCCAAGUUUGAGAAUGAGCAGCAAGAACUUCUACGGUUCCCACAAACACUUUUCGACACAAAGAUGCCAGCUGGUCAUACAGUUUUGCAACCUUUCACAGAUGACUUCUCGAAUUAAAAGAUAUAAGUUGAGGAACUGUUCUUUGUUCUACGUAUUGUUGAGAGGACUCAGUGUUGGAAUGUGAGUCAAUUAUUCUUGCGCAGAACAGUGGAGAUCAAUGGCUGGUAUAGAUCUACUUUGCAUCUGGAAGAUUGACAAGAGGUAUGCGAUGACUACAAUUUUUUUUUCAUGAAACGUUUGCCUUACUUCCCUCUCUAAUUUGUUUAUUUAAAUUAACAUUGAGGAUGCAUUAUAUAAGCAUCCCUAGGAUAUGAAGAUAUCUUGUAUUCAACGUUUAUAAACUAAAAAUACAUGGAUUAGAACAUAAUCAACAGAAAAAGAAAAUAUAUUUUUAGCAGAUAUUGAUUUUCUUUGUUCUAUAUAGUAAUUAAGACAAACGUAUAUGGUUCACGGGCUAAAAGUUGUGAGAAAAUCGGAGCACAAGUGAGCCAGAAGCUGAUUGUGGUCCAUGGAAUCAUCUUGCUAUCUUUAACAGCUGCAAAUACAUAUGAUCCACAGACCCUACAAAUGGUUUCUGAAGCUAUUGAUAUUGGUAUAGUUACAGAUUUCACUAUAUGAAUGUCCAUCUUAUGUCUUCCCUUUGUUAUUGUCACUAGGAGUCAGAAGCUAGGGGACGCAGCUUAGUGUUUAGUUUAUAUGGUGGGAUAUAUCUAUUUCAAUCUGAUUCAAAUGUAUUACGGUUUGUGUGAUGAAUUACAAAAUAGGAUUUGGAACAAAGCCAAAGUUUAUCCGUGAGAGACGUCUCAAGUCAGCCAACUCAACCAACCAAAUCCAGUUUCACACACACUGCUAGAUCAAUACAAACCACCUGCUCAGGGAUCAGGUGAGAAUAUGUGAGUAGAAGACAUAUAUGUGAGUAAUUUAUAUUACACUUGGUUCUAUAAGUGAGCACCUUAUGAAAGUCAUUGUAAGAUAGUGAAUAUAUAUCUUCCAGUUUCCAGUCUUAAUUGUUAUGUGCUUUAGAAACGAAUUUGGUCAGAGUUUGACAUUUGGUUGACAUAUCUAUCAUAUGUGGCUGCAAAGCUUACGCUAACGAAUGAGGAACCUGCAUGUUUUUUUUUGUUAUAUAUAAUUAAGGAACCAACAUAUGGGAAAAUUUUCACACCGUGUACGCAAGCAGGCUCUCCGGAUGUAGUGAAGCAGAUCACUCCCAUCACCAUUGGUGUUGGGCCAAGGUUAUAUUGCUGAUUCUAUUGCAUGUUGAUUAACUUAUAAAUUGUCUCUGAAUUUUAAUGACUUUAUGUUUGUUUUUGUUGCAUGGUUCAGAUUUCGUCUUAGCUUCCUAAAUAAAUAUUUCUUUUCUAUUGACCAA